rnacentral:rRNA from 1 species
GAUGAACGCUGGCGGCGUGCCUAAUACAUGCAAGUCGAGCGAACGGACGAGACUCUUGCUUCUCUGAUGUUAGCGGCGGACGGGUGAGUAACACGUGGAUAACCUACCUAUAAGACUGGGAUAACUUCGGGAAACCGUAGCUAAUACCGGAUAAUAUUUUGAACCGCAUGGUUCAAAAGUGAAAGACGGUCUUGCUGUCACUUAUAGAUGUAUCCGCGCUGCAUUAGCUAGUUGGUAAGGUAACGGCUUACCAAGGCAACGAUGCAUAGCCGACCUGAGAGGGUGAUCGGCCACACUGGAACUGAGACACGGUCCAGACUCCUACGGGAGGCAGCAGUAGGGAAUCUUCCGCAAAGGGCGAAAGCCUGACGGAGCAACGCCGCGUGAGUGAUGAAGGUCUUCGGAUCGUAAAACUCUGUUAUUAGGGAAGAACAGAUGUGUAAGUAACUGUGCACAUCUUGACGGUACCAAAUCAGAAAGCCACGGCUAACUACGUG